rnacentral:rRNA from 1 species
CCUACGGGGUGCAGCAGUGAGGAGUAUUGGUCAAUGGGCGCUAGCCUGAACCAGCCAAGUAGCGUGAAGGAUGACUGCCCUAUGGGUUGUAAACUUCUUUUAUAUGGGAAUAAAGUGCAGUAUGUAUACUGCUUUGCAUGUACCUUAUGAAUAAGGAUCGGCUAACUCCGUGCCAGCAGCCGCGGUAAUACGGAGGAUCCGAGCGUUAUCCGGAUUUAUUGGGUUUAAAGGGAGCGUAGGCGGGUUGUUAAGUCAGUUGUGAAAGUUUGCGGCUCAACCGUAAAAUUGCAGUUGAUACUGGCAGCCUUGAGUACAGUAGAGGUAGGCGGAAUUCGUGGUGUAGCGGUGAAAUGCUUAGAUAUCACGAAGAACUCCGAUUGCGAAGGCAGCCUGCUGGACUGUAACUGACGCUGAUGCUCGAAAGUGUGGGUAUCAAACAGGAUUAGAUACCCUUGUAGUC